UAGUCUACUUGCUCUCAGUACAAAGAUAUAAAAAAUUCAAAACUAGUAGGUAAAAUCAGAAAUGAAUAGAUACAUAAAGGAAUAGCUGAGAAUGUGCAAAAACAAGUUGCUUCUUCACAUAUACAGGGACAAUGCAUACCUACCCUUCUGAAAUAAGUUCUGUAUAGAAAAUUAGUCAAGGUGGAAUAUUUACUUGAGUCGAAGACUGAGAGAUUAGGAGCAAUACUGGAAUAGGGGAAAGAGCCAGUGUAAAAGCUAUGGGGCAAACUGUGAACUUGUUUUGUUCCCACUUCAAAAUGAAGCACAUGUGACUUACACUUCAUGAACAGUGAGAUAGUGGAAAAAGAUGAGGUUGCGUUUUUGCCAGUGGAUGCCACCAAGAAAGCAUUGUUAGAGUCUUCCUACUACCAUCAUCUCUAAAUCAGAGUCCCCAAAGCACCUGAACAUCUGCAGAAGCUAUUCAUCAAAGGGCUGAGCUUUGAAACAAAGGAUGAGUCUGAGAUGCUAUUUUGAGUAAUCGGGAACACUCACGGACUGUGUGGUAAUGAGAGACCCAAACAUCAAGACUGUGUGGUAAUGAGAGACCCAAACAUCAAGUGCUCCAGGAGCUUUGGGUUUGUCACUUAUGCCACUGUGGAGGAAGUGGACACAGCCNUUUAUUUAGAGACAGAGUCUCACUGAAUUGCUUAG
rnacentral:lncRNA from 1 species